rnacentral:lncRNA from 1 species
CUAUGAUUUGUCACAACCGAGACUGUAGCACAUGACGAAAUCACUGACUUUGUAUGGAUUGCCACUAAUAUCCUUUUACUGUUAUAAGAGCAAGUCUGAGAUUUGUCUUGCCUUUAGCAUCCCUGAGAUUUGGACCCUGAGGUGUGAACUUUUGACCUGUCUGCCCUACUGCUCUUCCCACGAAGGUUUCGUGGCUAUAAACCGUUCAGGUGCUGCUCGCUGCCCCAGGUGUCUGUGGGCGGCCCCAGAAUGUGGCAUGCUGACUAGCUCACUGUUUUCUCUGUGUCUCCUUUCUGCUGGCGUGUGGAAAAGAAUGCAACCCGGUGACGGGCUUGUGAUUUGGCCCCUCUGACGUUUGCUGGUGCUCUCUGGUGUGUACGGGGGUGGGUGCUGUCCCAGAGCACCCAGAGCCGUGUGAGGCUUGGCCCUGCUCUCCGGGAGCUCCCUAUCCCCCCACUCUGACCCACCCACCACCCUGGCUCACUGGCCCUGAGAUCUGGCAUGAAGGGAGGGGAUCUCACUGAAAACCGUGGCCCUCUGAGCCCACUCCUUUACACUGUGAAUGAAAGAGACUGAACUUUACUGGCUGGGAAGUCAGGGAAAAUACAAAUUAUUGCACUGCCUACCCUACCCCUAGCUUUGCCACUUAGUACUUGUGAGGCCUUUGCCUUAGUCCCGGUUUUUUCAUGGAAAUCAGUAGUGCUGCGUCUGGUUUAGUGGUUAAAGAAGGUAGGCCGAAAGCCAGAUGAUUUGGGUCUCUGUUGUUUAUUAGCUGCGUGACCAUUGUCAUGUUACUUAACCUCUCUGUGCCUUACUUUCCUCAUCUGUGACGUGGGAAGAAUAGCAUCCACUCUACAGGGCUCUUAUGAAGAUGGAGAGAAUUAAUAAAUGUACAACAUCUAGAACUAUGCCCAGCAUGGAUAGCUCUCAACAAAUAUUAGUUAUUAUCAUCCAAUUCACAGGGAUGUUUAGAGAGAAUCAGAUGAGAUCAUUAUGGUAAAAGUGCAUUGUAAAUGGCAAAGCAUGCUAAAAAAGGACUGGUGCUAUUAUUUUUUACUUCCAAUUUUAUUGAUGUAAUUGACAUUUAGCACUUGUAAGUUUGGUACAGCAUGAUAAUGAUUUGACUACAUGCAUCAUGAAAUGAUUAUCACAGUAAGUUUAGUGAACAACCAUCAUCUCCUAUAGAAACAAAA